UACGAAGGGGGCUAGCGUUGCUCGGAAUCACUGGGCGUAAAGCGCGCGUAGGCGGACGAUUAAGUCGGGGGUGAAAUCCUGGGGCUCAACCCUAGAACUGCCUUCGAUACUGAUCGUCUAGAGUCCGGGAGAGGUGAGUGGAACUCCGAGUGUAGAGGUGAAAUUCGUAGAUAUUCGGAAGAACACCAGUGGCGAAGGCGGCUCACUGGCCCGGUACUGACGCUGAGGCGCGAAAGCGUGGGGAGCAAACAGG
rnacentral:rRNA from 1 species